CCUACGUGAGGCAGCAGUGAGGAAUAUUGGUCAAUGGGCGCGAGCCUGAACCAGCCAAGUCGCGUGAGGGAAGACGGUCCUAUGGAUUGUAAACCUCUUUUGUCGGGGAGCAAAAGACGCCACGCGUGGCGUUCCGAGAGUACCCGAAGAAAAAGCAUCGGCUAACUCCGUGCCAGCAGCCGCGGUAAUACGGAGGAUGCGAGCGUUAUCCGGAUUUAUUGGGUUUAAAGGGUGCGCAGGCGGAAGAUCAAGUCAGCGGUAAAAUUGAGAGGCUCAACCUCUUCGAGCCGUUGAAACUGGUUUUCUUGAGUGAGUGAGAAGUAUGCGGAAUGCGUGGUGUAGCGGUGAAAUGCAUAGAUAUCACGGAGAACUCCGAUUGCGAAGGCAGCAUACCGGCGCUCAACUGACGCUCAUGCACGAAAGUGUGGGUAUCGAACAGGAUUGGAUACCCCUGUAGUC
rnacentral:rRNA from 1 species